AAAACUUGAAAUUAAAAUGAACAUCAUUCUUUGUUGCAGAACACUUAACACUAGCAAUUGAGACCAAAAACUGAUUAUGAAAAUGUAGAUUGAGGUAAAUAAUCAAGAGAAAAGUGGAUCACUUUCUCAUAGACUUCUACAGAAACCAA